rnacentral:lncRNA from 10 species
CUUUUUCAGAGUCAGUAAAACUUUUUUUCUUUUGAGGUAUACAUAGAUUUCAGCAAUUGAGUAAGAUAUAUUCCUAUGAGCAAAAUUUGGAGCACGUUUCUUUCUCUCUACAUGAUUGCUCCAGAAUUUGGAAACUAUUAGAGUAUUCUUAAGGCAAUAUAGCUAUCAGCAUAAAUACAACAAGAAUCUGUUUUAGGACAAAAUUGGAGACACUAGUAAUUUUUACAAAUGCAUUGACUGGAAUGAGAGGCUUUCAACUAUGAAUACACUCCUUUAAGGAAUCAAAGUUUAUUUACAGAACCAGUAAUAGCCCCUUGGCAAACUGGCCUCAUACAUUGUCUGUGCAAUCCCUGUACAGGAUUCCUGACCUGUAGUAAGUAAACAACGUCACUUUAUGAAAGGUCCUGGAGCCCCAAAUUAUCUUGGGUCCUUGAAAGAAGAGGAAUUUCAUCCAAUUCAUACAGAUGUUUGCAGGGACAGAUAAAUCCAUAGCUGGACUCCAGGCUUAAAAAAUCUAGUCUAAGAUUCCUUAUGGAACGAAGAUUCAUAAAAGCCUAUCUUAAAAGAGCCUAUGUGGCAAAUAAUUAUUCUUCCUGCAUUUUAUGCAAAUAAUCAGGCCAAGUAUAAUAAGACUAAACCUUAUUUUGCAAUACAUUGUUCCUACUAUGAUUUUAUCUUUAGUAAAAUUGGGGAAUUAGAGUAAAACCAUGUUUCAGAGUAAUAUACAGUGCACCUGUUAUUUGGACAUAAUUCUAAAAUAUUUCCUGUCUGUGAAUCUCCAAAAUAAUGUUUUCAAUUUUUUCCUUCUUUUCCUUUUUUUCUGAUUUUUCCUGAUUUGAAAUCACUGUGCUUCUCUUAAAGCCCUGUGAACUGAAACUAGACAACUUAAACCUCAGAAGAAAAUAUCAACAACCUAUUUGUAUACAUAAAUUGCUUUCAUACCUGUCUACUGAUGUAUGGGUUUCAAAGUAGUAUGGCCUAUAUCAGUUUUCCAAGAUUGUUUUCUUUUUUAUGUUUGUUUGUUGUUUCUUUUUUCCUCCCUCCUCCUAUUUUUUAUUUGUAGGACGUGAGACUUCAAAAACUGCUGAAAAUGAGCUUUUCUAACAAUGUUGGGCCUAUUUGUCUAGGAAUAAAUCAUCCUAGCAACGAGAGAUCAGACAAAACCCAAGAUUAGAUACUAAUUUUCUUCCAAAAUGCUUUCUCAGAAAAAUUGUAAAAAGAGGGGAAAAUGUGAAUGGAAAAUGAAAUCUUGGGACCCCAAUUUACUCUGCCAAAAGAAAAGAAAAUUAAGCUGAAAGGCUCUCUCGCCUUUAAACAUUAAAGCCCUCAAAAUCAUCUUUGGAAAAAUGCACGGACCUGUCCCACAGAUGAGUGACAUUAACCUUGGCAAAAUAAACUUCUAAAUUGAUGAAGACCUGUCUCAGAUACUUUCAUGUUUACAUCUUCAGUGGGGAUAUUUUAAACACAGUUCAACCUGGAUAUCAUGUUAAGUGGAAGGUGUGGACUGAUAAUGGUUUUAAACUUGAGAGUGCACUAGAGUCAUCUUGAGGGCUUCUUAGAACACUGACUUUUUG